rnacentral:miRNA from 1 species
AUAUGAGUGUAGGUAGGGAGUGCAGGUGGCUCUAUGAGGGGCCAAUACCUACAUACAGAUACACACACACACACACACACACACACAC